rnacentral:rRNA from 1 species
AUUGAACGCUGGCGGCAGGCCUAACACAUGCAAGUCGAACGAGUGGCGGACGGGUGAGGAAUGUCUGGGAAAAUGCCUGAUGGAGGGGGAUAACUACUGGAAACGGUAGCUAAUACCGCAUAACCUCAGAUGUGCAACGAUGGGAGUAGUUAGUGGGUGGGGUAACGGUUCACCAAGGCGACGAUCCCUAGCUGGUCUGAGAGGAUGACCAGCCCAACUGGAACGGAGACACGGUCCAGACUCCUACGGGAGGCAGCAGUGGGGAAUAUUGAACAAUGGGCGCAAGCCUGAUGCAGCCAUGCCGCGUGUAUGAAGAAGGCCUUCGGGUUGUAAAGUACUUUCAGCGGGGAGGCGUUACCCGCAGAAGAAGCACCGGCUAACUACGUGCCAGCCGCCGCGGUAAUAC